GAUCAUGGCUCAGGAUGAACGCUGGCGGCGUGCUUAACACAUGCAAGUCGAACGAAGCGACUAUGAUUGAGAUUUCGGUUGAUUGAAUAGUUGACUUAGUGGCGGACGGGUGAGUAACGCGUGAGCAACCUGCCUAUCAGUGGGGAAUAACGUUUGGAAACGAACGCUAAUACCGCAUAAUGUACAGAGAUCGCAUGUUUUUUGUACCAAAGAUUUAUUGCUGAUAGAUGGGCUCGCGUCUGAUUAGGUAGUUGGUGAGGUAACGGCUCACCAAGCCGACGAUCAGUAGCCGGACUGAGAGGUUGAACGGCCACAUUGGAACUGAGAAACGGUCCAGACUCCUACGGGAGGCAGCAGUGGGGAAUAUUGGGCAAUGGGCGAAAGCCUGACCCAGCGACGCCGCGUGAGGGAAGACGGUCUUCGGAUUGUAAACCUCUUUCAGCAGGGAAGACAAAAGGACGGUACCUGCAGAAGAAGCCACGGCUAACUACGUG
rnacentral:rRNA from 1 species